UCCCUCUGUGUGAGUGGGGGCCUUUAGACUAUAGAUCUAAAGGUCCUUGGUUCGAUCCCGGGGUUCGGCAA
rnacentral:tRNA from 1 species